rnacentral:rRNA from 1 species
AAAAACAUUUCUUAUAAUUUUAUUAUAAGUAAAAUCUGCUCAAUGAAUAAUAAAUAGCCGCAGAAUAUUAACUGUGCUAAGGUAGCAUAAUCAUUUACCUUUUAAUUAAAGGUUUGCAUGAAUGAUUUAACAAUUUAACUAUUUUUUUAUAAAUAACUAUUUAAACUAAAUUAAAAAUAAAAAUGUUUUUAUAUUUAAGAAAGACGAUAAGACCCUAUUGAACUUUACUAAUGUUUAGCUGGGGAAGCUAAUUAAAUAUAAUUUUAAUUUUAAUUAACUAAUAAAUAUCUGAUAUAAUCAAAUUAAACAAGUUACCAUAGGGAUAACAGCAUAAUAUAAUUUUAAAGCUCAUAUUAAAAAUUAAGAUUAUGACCUCGAUGUUGAAUU